UCUGUUUAAUUAAAAUAGGAGAUCAUGUCUGACCCAGAGUGAAGUCUUAGCUUUUAAAGAAAACCCAACAGACCCUAAUUCUUUUUCCAAGGAGUAUGGCAGCUUGGGGCUGUGAACUCUGGUCCGGAUCAUCCUGUCGUGCAUAUAUGAGCACCACCCAUAUGCAAUGCUCUUGGCGGCUAGAAGAGGGCAUCAGAUCCCUUGGCAUUGGAGUUAGCAGCCGACGCCUUUGAGUAAACCUCAACCUCAAAGAUUCAAUUCCCGAUUUUUGCCCAUGCGUCAGGAGUGUGGACCGGUCUGCUUUCAUACUCUUGGUCACCAUGGCAGGACUCUGCCAUAAGUCACUGAAUUAGCUGAGAAUCUCAAGAUUGCUUUGGGGUCCGAGCAGCAGUGAUUUCACGUGGGGACACCCGCUUUCCUGAAUGGAGCACUUUCCGUGGUCUUUAGGACUGGUGCGCUUCUCCAGUUUGGCUCCUGGGUUAAAGCUUGUCUCUUGCUUCUGUUUUUAAAAACGCUGACAGCUCACAGCUGUCUGUAAAGUCUGGUUCCAGGGAUUCAGACACCACGCAUGCCCACAACACAUCAAGACACAUAAAAUACAAGUAAAUCGAUCAUUUAAAAAUACUUAAAAAUGGCUGGGCUGGAGAGAUGGCUCAGCAGUUAAGAGCACUGACUGCUCUUCCAGAGGUCCUGAGUUCAAAUCCCACCAGCCACAUGGUGGCUCACAACCAUCAGUAAUGAGAUCCAGUGCCAUCUUCUGGUGUGUCUGAAGACAGCUACAGCAUACUUAUAUAUAAUAAAUAAAUAUUUAAAAAAUAAAAAUUUAAAAAUUAAAAAAAAGGGCUGGAGAGAUGGCUCAGCGGUUAAGAGCACUGACUGCUCUUCCAGAGGUCCUGAGCUCAAUUCCCAGCAACCACAUGGUGGCUCACAACCAUCUGUAAUGGGAUGCUCUUUUCUGAAGUGUCUGAAGAGAACUACAGUGUACUAAUAUAUAAAUAAAAUAAAUCUAAAAAAAAUGCACCCAAUACAUACAUACAAAAUAAAUAACAUACAUACACAAACACAAAAUUUAGUAAAUAAAAACUAAUUUAAAAAAAUUUAAAAAAAAUUAAAAAAUUGCUUUCUAGGGGGCUGGAGAGAUGGUGGUGGUUAAGAACACUUGUUGUUCUUGCAGAGGACCCAGGUUCAAUUCCCAGCGCCCACAUGGAGGCUCACAACCAUGCAUAACUCCAGUUCCAGGGCAUUUGAACCCUCUUGCGCCCUGGUCAUACCAGGCUCAGUAGGGAGGUUGAACUUGACCUUGGUUUGUAGGGACUGGGCCUUCGGUCUGUGGUUAAGGGUGUCAGGGCAGGGCUCCUGCAUUUGAACUAGUAGCUUUAAAAAAAGAUAGACUAGAUACACCAUGCCAACUCGAGAUGCUGCUCCCAGGAGAGCCAGAUGUCAGUUCCCAGCCCUGGCACUGAGAGUCAAAAUAUACCUCUUUUGGUUUACCUUUUUUUGAAAAAAAAAAUAUGUGGGGCUGGAGAGAUGGCUCAGGGGUUAAGAGCACUGACUGCUCUUCCAGAGGUCCUGAGUUCAAUUCCCAGCAACCACAUGGUGGCUCACAACCAUCUGUAAUGAGAUCUGAUGCCCUUUUCCGGUGUGUGUGAAGA